rnacentral:rRNA from 1 species
CAGGCUUAACACAUGCAAGUCGAGGGGCAGCACAGGUAGCAAUACCGGGUGGCGACCGGCGCACGGGUGAGUAACGCGUAUGCAACUUGCCUAUCAGAGGGGGAUAACCCGGCGAAAGUCGGACUAAUACCGCAUGAAGCAGGGGCCCCGCAUGGGGAUAUUUGCUAAAGAUUCAUCGCUGAUAGAUAGGCAUGCGUUCCAUUAGGCAGUUGGCGGGGUAACGGCCCACCAAACCGACGAUGGAUAGGGGUUCUGAGAGGAAGGUCCCCCACAUUGGUACUGAGACACGGACCAAACUCCUACGAGAGGCAGCAGUGAGGAAUAUUGGUCAAUGGCCGAGAGGCUGAACCAGCCAAGUCGCGUGAGGGAUGAAGGUUCUAUGGAUCGUAAACCUCUUUUAUAAGGGAAUAAAGUGCGGGACGUGUCCCGUUUUGUAUGUACCUUAUGAAUAAGGAUCGGCUAACUCCGUGCCAGCAGCCGCGGUAAUACGGAGGAUCCGAGCGUUAUCCGGAUUUAUUGGGUUUAAAGGGUGCGUAGGCGGCCUUUUAAGUCAGCGGUGAAAGUCUGUGGCUCAACCAUAGAAUUGCCGUUGAAACUGGGGGGCUUGAGUAUGUUUGAGGCAGGCGGAAUGCGUGGUGUAACGGUGAAAUGCAUAGAUAUCACGCAGAACCCCCGAUUGCGAAGGCAGCCUGCCCAGCCAUUACUGACGCUGAUGCACGAAAGCGUGGGGAUCAAACAGGAUUAGAUUCCCUGGUAGUCCACGCAGUAAACGAUGAUCACUAGCUGUUUGCGAUACACUGUAAGCGGCACAGCGAAAGCGUUAAGUGAUCCACCUGGGGAGUACGCCGGCAACGGUGAAACUCAAAGGAAUUGACGGGGGCCCGCACAAGCGGAGGAACAUGUGGUUUAAUUCGAUGAUACGCGAGGAACCUUACCCGGGUUUGAACGCAUUCGGACCGAGGUGGAAACACCUUUUCUAGCAAUAGCCGUUUGCGAGGUGCUGCAUGGUUGUCGUCAGCUCGUGCCGUGAGGUGUCGGCUUAAGUGCCAUAACGAGCGCAACCCUUGCCACUAGUUACUAACAGGUAAAGCUGAGGACUCUGGUGGGACUGCCAGCGUAAGCUGCGAGGAAGGCGGGGAUGACGUCAAAUCAGCACGGCCCUUACAUCCGGGGCGACACGCGUGUUACAAUGGCGUGGACAAAGGGAAGCCACCUGGCGACAGGGAGCGAAUCCCCAAACCACGUCUCAGUUCGGAUCGGAGUCUGCAACCCGACUCCGUGAAGCUGGAUUCGCUAGUAAUCGCGCAUCAGCCAUGGCGCGGUGAAUACGUUCCCGGGCCUUGUACACACCGCCCGUCAAGCCAUGGGAGCCGGGGGUACCUGAAGUCCGUAACCGCGAGGAUCGGCCUAGGGUAAAACUGGUGACUGGGGCUAAGUCAUAACAAG